CCUACGGGAGGCAGCAGUGAGGAAUAUUGGUCAAUGGACGAGAGUCUGAACCAGCCAAGUAGCGUGAAGGAUGACUGCCCUAUGGGUUGUAAACUUCUUUUAUAUGGGAAUAAAACGUUCCACGUGUGGGAUUUUGUAUGUACCAUAUGAAUAAGGAUCGGCUAACUCCGUGCCAGCAGCCGCGGUAAUACGGAGGAUCCGAGCGUUAUCCGGAUUUAUUGGGUUUAAAGGGAGCGUAGGUGGAUUGUUAAGUCAGUUGUGAAAGUUUGGGGCUCAACCGUAAAAUUGCAGUUGAAACUGGCAGUCUUGAGUACAGUAGAGGUGGGCGGAAUUCGUGGUGUAGCGGUGAAAUGCUUAGAUAUCACGAAGAACUCCGAUUGCGAAGGCAGUUCACUGGACUGCAACUGACACUGAGGCUCGAAAGUGUGGGUAUCAAACAGGAUUAGAUACCCCUGUAGUC
rnacentral:rRNA from 1 species